AAGUCGUAACAAGGUUUCCGUAGGUGAACCUGCGGAAGGAUCAUUAUAGAAAAUGACGUGAACUCUUAACGGAGUUCUCUCAAAGUGUUGGAGGGGAAGGCCUGCGCUUAAUUGCGCGGCUGUUUUUAAUCUCCUCCGCCUUUGAUACACACAUUGGAGUUUCUACUUUUUUGUUCUCUUUGGGAGGGUUCUGCUCUCCCAGAGGUAAACACAAACAAUCUUUUAUUAUACUAUUAACACAGUCAAAUGAAUUUUAAAAACAAAAUAUUCAAAACUUUCAACAACGGAUCUCUUGGUUCUCGCAUCGAUGAAGAACGCAGCGAACUGCGAUACGUAAUGUGAAUUGCAGAAUUCCGUGAAUCAUCGAAUCUUUGAACGCACAUUGCGCCCCUUGGUAUUCCGGGGGGCAUGCCUGUUUGAGCGUCAUUUCCCUCUCAAACUUUACGUUUGGUAGUGAGCGAUACUCUACUCUGGAGUUUGCUUGAAAAUGGGAGGCCAUAGGCGAAGCAUUGCUUUCCAAUCCUGCGGCCCUCUGCUUACUUCCCCUUGUGGGUUGUGGCAGGGGAAAGCGGGAGGCGCCUUGCCACGAUAGUCGUAUUAGGUUUUACCGACUCGGCGAAAGUGAAGAGGUUUGCUUUUUAGGAGCAGGCAGCGUCUGGCUUGACAAAAUUCUCAAAGUUUGACCUCAAAUCAGGUAGGAUUACCCGCUGAACUUAA
rnacentral:rRNA from 1 species